UACGUAGGAUGCAAGCGUUGUCCGGAAUUAUUGGGCGUAAAGAGCGCGCAGGCGGUAACUCAAGUCAGAUGUGAAAUAUCCGGGCUUAACCCGGAGGGGUCAUUUGAAACUGAGUAACUAGAGUACAGCAGAGGAUAGCGGAAUUCCCGGUGUAGUGGUGAAAUGCGUAGAUAUCGGGAGGAACACCCAGUGGCGAAGGCGGCUACCUGGACAAUUGCUGACGCUCA
rnacentral:rRNA from 1 species